rnacentral:misc_RNA from 1 species
GGGGGGGUGUGUGGGUGUUGUGGGGGUGUUGGUUAAUCACCCAAAAGGUUCAAAACCUUUUCCUAAUUUGCAAAUAAAGCCAGUAAUCUAAAGAAUAAUAAUAAUUUUUAGUCUAUGCUUUAGUUAUUAGUUGCAAUUACAGCUCAAGUUACUCAAACUACAAAAUUACAGGUAAAUCAAAUCACAAAAGGAAAAAUUAAGAACUCGUAUUUCUAAAUAUUCUCAUAUAUAUAUAUAUAUUCACAAGACAGGUAACAGUCAUA